CUAGUCUUUAUCCAUUUCUGGUGGUGAGUAAAAUUAUACUAAACCAAGCUGCUAACUUCACUAAAGAGAAGUUCCAAGUUGUUUCCAUGGGAACAACAGUUAAGGCAGUGGCUGUCAUCGCCGGUUCCAAUAACGUCAAAGGCUCUCUCCACUUCAUCCAACAUUCCACUGGGAUAACACAUGUCAAAGGAAAAAUAACAGGACUUACACCAGGUCUCCAUGGCUUUCAUAUCCAUGCCCUUGGAGAUACCACUAAUGGUUGCAACUCCACUGAGCCUCAUUUUAAUCCGAUGAAGAAGGACCAUGGAGCUCCAUCCGACACGGAACGCCAUGUGGGUGACCUGGGAAACAUUGUUGCUGGCAGUGAUGGGGUUGCUGAGGUCUCCAUUAGUGAUUCCCAGAUAUCACUUAGUGGGCAGCACUCAAUCCUUGGGAGGGCUGUUGUGGUGCAUGCUGAUCCUGAUGAUCUUGGAAGAGGUGGACAUGAACUUAGCAAAGCAACUGGGAAUGCUGGUGCUAGAGUAGGAUGCGGUGUAAUCGGGCUGCAAUCAUCCGUUUAGAUCCUUCCCUUUAUUUAGUAAUAGACUAAUUUCUGUUUGUGUUCUUUUAUGAGAAAAUAUAAUCACCAAAUUUAGUUCAUAUAAUUUCACAAACUUUGUCUCAGUAAAUCUCUGGUAGGUAGUGUCGAUUGCCGAGAAUAAGGCAGAGGAAAAUGAAGGGACCAUAGCAGCCAUAUGAGGAAGCAUAUUCUUCAAGUCCACUUGGAGUCCAAAAAUAAAGUAAGAGAUAACUGAGAAGCACAUGAAGAAGACAGAAACAAAGAAGAUGGAAGAUGAAGAAAAGUUAGAGAUAAGAGGGAGGGGGUAGGCAGUUAGGCACCAGGCAGGGUAUCACCAUGGAUAAAGGUUAGAACAAUACUUCUGUGAAAGAAGAAAAAUAGAGAGUUGGUGUGUGACUAACUGAGUCACCUGCAUGAAGACAGUAAAACUGACCAGAAAUUUGAGGUCAAAUCCUAACAAACUUGACUUUUAGUCGGAAAAAAGACAUUAAAGUGUGUUCUUUUUGAC